rnacentral:tRNA from 1 species
GGACAGAUGGCCGAGUGGUUAUGGCGUGUGACUCAAGCUUAAUAGCUUAGUUGAUUGAAUCAACUAGCAUUCUCAUGGGCUUAGCCCGCGGGGGUUCGAAUCCCCCUCUGUUCA